GGGCCCAUAGCUCAGUUGGUUAGAGCAGCGGACUCAUAAUCCGUUGGUCCCAGGUUCGAGUCCUGGUGGGCCCA
rnacentral:tRNA from 3 species